UACGGAGGGUGCAAGCGUUAAUCGGAAUUACUGGGCGUAAAGCGCGCGUAGGCGGCUUGUUUAGCCAGAUGUGAAAGCCCCGGGCUCAACCUGGGAACUGCAUUUGGAACUGGCAGGCUAGAGUACAGUAGAGGGUGGUGGAAUUUCCAGUGUAGCGGUGAAAUGCGUAGAGAUUGGAAGGAACAUCAGUGGCGAAGGCGGCCACCUGGACUGAUACUGACGCUGAGGUGCGAAAGCGUGGGGAGCAAACAGG
rnacentral:rRNA from 1 species